rnacentral:rRNA from 1 species
GAUGAACGCUGGCGGCGUGCUUAACACAUGCAAGUCGAACGAAGCACCUCUCCCGAAGAUUGACACAGCUUGCUGUAGAUUGAUUCAUUUGAGGUGACUGAGUGGCGGACGGGUGAGUAACGCGUGGGUAACCUGCCUCAUAGAGGGGGACAACAGUUGGAAACGACUGCUAAUACCGCCUAGUAAGAAGAAUUCGCAUGUUUUCUUCUUGAAAGAUUUAUCGCUAUGAGAUGGACCCGCGUCUGAUUAGCUAGUUGGUAAGGUAACGGCUUACCAAGGCGACGAUCAGUAGCCGGCUUGAGAGAGUGAACGGCCACAUUGGGACUGAGACACGGCCCAAACUCCUACGGGAGGCAGCAGUGGGGAAUAUUGCACAAUGGGGGAAACCCUGAUGCAGCGACGCCGCGUGAGUGAAGAAGUAUUUCGGUAUGUAAAGCUCUAUCAGCAGGGAAGAUAAUGACGGUACCUGACUAAGAAGCCCCGGCUAACUACGUG